GUUGAAACACUGGUGCUCGUCCAAUCAACGAAGUUGAGCAACGUCGAGCUUGGUCAGUACCUAGAUGGGUGGCCGCUUGGGAAUACUAGGUGCUGUAAG